UACGUAGGCAGCGAGCGUUGUUCGGAGUUACUGGGCGUAAAGGGUGUGUAGGCGGUUGUUUAAGUUUGGUGUGAAAUCUCCCGGCUCAACUGGGAGGGUGCGCCGAAUACUGAAUGACUUCGAGUGCGGGAGAGGAGAGUGGAAUUCCUGGUGCAGCGGUGAAAUGCGUAGAUAUCAGGAGGAACACCGGUGGUGUAGACGGCUCUCUGGACCGUAACUGACGCUGAGACACGAAAGCGUGGGUAGCAAACAGG
rnacentral:rRNA from 1 species